CUCUGGGAGAUGCUGAGGGUGUGUCAGCAGAGAGGACUUUCCCAGGUCCUUUGGUGGAUGUGGCACGCAAGCCCAGCUCCCAUCGCAGGGGUGAGUAGUGUGUCCCUGCUGAGCCCACAGGCUGAGCCCUGGUUUUGUGGGAUCCAUUCCUGGGAAAUGGAACUCUGUUGCUCUAAGGUCCUCCAGCGGGAAAGAACAAAGCUAAAGGACACCAGAAAGCCCAGGAACCAUCCAAACACAUGGGGCAGCUGUUGAGGGAAAUGGAACAGGCAGGACAAGAUAACCCUGUUGGUGAAAGCGAUCUGGCUUCCCAACCCACAUUCAGGAUUGAGCCUCUGGGAGAUGCUGAGGGUGUGUCUGCAGGGAGGACUUUUCCUGCUCCUUUGGUGGAUGUUGCACGCAAGCCCAGCUCCCAUCGCAGGGGUCCUCCAGCGGGAAAGAACAAAGCUAAAGGACACAAGAAAGCCCAGGAACCAUCCAAACGCAUGGGACAGCUGUUGAGGGAAAUGGAACAGGCAGGACAAGGUGGG